UGGAGAAUAACGCGUGGCUGGAGGAACAAUUGAAAAAUGGAUAAGAUAAUACAACAAAAGGAUGAUCAAAUUAUGAAGCUGCAGGCCCAAUUAUUGGAACAAUACAAAAUAUUAGAUAACAGCAAAGCUAAGGAUGCUCAAAUUUUGAGUCUACAAGCUCAGCUAGGGGAAAAGAACAAAUUGGAACGGAACAGUUUCCAAACAGUGAAGGAGGUUUUUCCAAGCUCAUCCCUAACUGAACAUGAGGAUGAAUUGGCAU